AUUGAACGCUGGCGGCAGGCCUAACACAUGCAAGUCGAGCGGAUGAAGGGAGCUUGCUCCUGGAUUCAGCGGCGGACGGGUGAGUAAUGCCUAGGAAUCUGCCUGGUAGUGGGGGAUAACGUCCGGAAACGGGCGCUAAUACCGCAUACUUCCUGAGGGAGAAAGUGGGGGAUCUUCGGACCUCACGCUAUCAGAUGAGCCUAGGUCGGAUUAGCUAGUUGGUGGGGUAGAGGCCUACCAAGGCGACGAUCCGUAACUGGUCUGAGAGGAUGAUCAGUCACACUGGAACUGAGACACGGUCCAGACUCCUACGGGAGGCAGCAGUGGGGAAUUUUGGACAAUGGGCGCAAGCCUGAUCCAGCAAUGCCGCGUGCGGGAAGAAGGCCUUCGGGUUGUAAACCGCUUUUGGCAGGAACGAAGCGGUGUCCGCUAAUACCGGGCGCUAAUGACGGUACCUGCAGAAUAAGCACCGGCUAACUACGUG
rnacentral:rRNA from 1 species